rnacentral:rRNA from 1 species
CAGUAGCCGCGGGAAUACAGAGGGUGCGAGCGUUAAUCGGAUUUACUGGGCGUAAAGCGUGCGUAGGCGGCUUUUUAAGUCGGAUGUGAAAUCCCUGAGCUUAACUUAGGAAUUGCAUUCGAUACUGGGAAGCUAGAGUAUGGGAGAGGAUGGUAGAAUUCCAGGUGUAGCGGUGAAAUGCGUAGAGAUCUUGAGGAAUACCGAUGGCGAAGGCAGCCAUCUGGCCUAAUACUGACGCUGAGGUACGAAAGCAUGGGGAGCAAACAGGAUUAGAGACCCCCGUAGUCCCUGUCUCUUAUAC